UUAGGAAUCUUUCACAAUGGACGAAAGUCUGAUGGAGCAACGCCGCGUGCAGGACGAAGGCCUUCGGGUUGUAAACUGCUUUUAUAAGCGAGAAAUUUGAUGGUAACUUAUGAAUAAGGAUCGGCUAACUACGUGCCAGCAGCCGCGGUCAUACGUAGGAUCCGAGCAUUAUCCGGAGUGACUGGGCGUAAAGAGUUGCGUAGGUGGUGAUUUAAGCGAGUAGUGAAAUCUGGUGGCUCAACCAUUCAGACUAUUACUCGAACUGGAUCGCUCGAGAGCGUCAAGGGUAACUGGAAUUUCUAGUGUAGGAGUGAAAUCCGUAGAUAUUAGAAGGAACACCAAUAGCGUAGGCAGGUUACUGGGGCGUUUCUGACACUAAGGCACGAAAGCGUAGGGAGCAAACGGGAUUAGAUACCCCGGUAGUCUACGCCGUAAACGAUGGACACUAGCUGUGGGAGGUAUCGACCCCUUCCGUAGCGAAGCUG
rnacentral:rRNA from 1 species